rnacentral:rRNA from 1 species
AGAGUUUGAUCAUGGCUCAGAAUCAACGCUGGCGGCGUGCCUCAGACAUGCAAGUCGAACGAUUAAACUUUCCUUCGGGAGAGAUAUAAAGUGGCGCACGGGUGAGUAACACGUAGGUAAUCUACCUUUGAGUGGGGAACAACUUAGGGAAACUUAAGCUAAUACCGCAUAAUGCAAUCGUGUCUAUGACAUUUUUGUUAAAGCGAGCAAUCGCGCUUAAAGAGGAGCCUGCGGCAGAUUAGCUAGUUGGUAAGGUAAUGGCUUACCAAGGCUACGAUCUGUAACCGACCUGAGAGGGUGGUCGGUCACACUGACACUGAAUAACGGGUCAGACUCCUACGGGAGGCAGCAGUCGGGAAUUUUGGGCAAUGGGCGAAAGCCUGACCCAGCAACGCCGCGUGAAGGAUGAAGUCUUUCGGGAUGUAAACUUCGUAAGAAUGGGAAGAAUAAAUGACGGUACCAUUUGUAAGGUCCGGCUAACUACGUGCCAGCAGCCGCGGUAAUACGUAGGGACCAAGCGUUGUUCGGAUUUACUGGGCGUAAAGGGCGCGUAGGCGGCGUGACAAGUCAGUUGUGAAAUCUCCGAGCUUAACUCGGAACGGUCAACUGAUACUGUUGUGCUAGAGUACAGAAGGGGCAAUCGGAAUUCUUGGUGUAGCGGUGAAAUGCGUAGAUAUCAAGAGGAACACCAGAGGUGAAGACGGGUUGCUGGGCUGAUACUGACGCUGAGGCGCGAAAGCUAGGGUAGCAAACGGGAUUAGAUACCCCAGUAGUCC